AUAAAGUCUGAGAUUUUUUCAAUCCUCUUUUUUGGAAACAUCUGGCAGGUGGAUCAAAUGAAGAUUUUGGCUGUCCUCGUAUUUCUUGUCUCCCUGACUUGCUCUUCAGCCAGUGAUGUUAUUGCUGUGAAGCACCAAGGAAAUACCGACACCAGCACCCACCAGGCGGUGAAGGUUAACCAGCAAGAUCAAACGGCCAAUAUCCACAACUACAAUGCGUGGAACGGAUG